CACAGAUCACAGUAAACCCAAGGCUGUGGUCUGUGGCUGCGUGACCUUGACGUACAGAACACUACAGGAGUUUUGCGUGUGUCAGUGUUGCCAGCCAAGACCACCAGUGUUACCAGAUGAAAGGGAGAUGCCUAGAGAGACGCUAAGUGGAUGAAAAGUCUCCUCCACCUUCUCCCCCAUUGCUCCAUCCACACUCGCCCUGCCACGACCCUCCACCGACCACCAGGAGGGAACAUGAGUCAUCCAGGUCGUCUUAACAAGCAUCACAGUUCACGGGUUUCCCAGAUCCAGAAAUAACAUCUUUUCGUCUCGCCUACUGUAAACACCUCUACAACACCACUCCAUUAUCUCUCUCUCUCUCUCUCUCUCUCUCUCUCUCUCUCUCUCUCUCUCUCUCUCUCUCUCUCUCUCUCUCUCUC